UCUUAAGGAAUUAGCAUGUGCAAUAAAGAGGAUGGCUAUUUCUCGGCGUCAUAAAAUACAUUUUUAUUUAAAUCGCAAACACUCGCUUACUUACAUUUGUCCUUCACUAGUCAAAUAGAGCAUUGAAAAACAUGACCCAUGACAGGUUCUGUAAUUAUUGGCUUAGUUUUGUUUUUAUCUACAGUGUCCUGUGAUGGAAUCUAAGAAGUACAGCAACUUUGUAACCAACCCUGACGUAGGUUAACAUUCUGUUCAAAGUUUGCCAGGAAUUGGACGAGUGUAUGCAAAAAGGUUGAAAGCGAAAGGAAUAAAACGGGUGUCACAGGUGCUACUUAGGUACCAGCGCAAGUUCAACGAUAAAGAAUUAUUACAGUGGUUGAAGGGGAACACUAGUGGUCAAGACUUUUGGUUGAUUCACUGCUGCCAGGCCGUCAAAAAGUGGUGUAAUACCUUCUUUUUUGUGGUACCUCCAAGUUCCCCCACCAGUUGGCUCUGUCA